rnacentral:rRNA from 1 species
UACGUAGGGGGCAAGCGUUGUCCGGAAUCAUUGGGCGUAAAGAGCGUGUAGGCGGUUCGGUAAGUCGGCUGUGAAAGUCCAGGGCUCAACCCUGGGAUGCCGGUCGAUACUGCCGGACUAGAGUUCGGAAGAGGCGAGUGGAAUUCCCGGUGUAGCGGUGAAAUGCGCAGAUAUCGGGAGGAACACCUAUGGCGAAGGCAGCUCGCUGGGACGUUACUGACGCUGAGACGCGAAAGCGUAGGGAGCGAACAGG